CCUACGGGUGGCAGCAGUCGAGAAUCAUUCACAAUGGGGGAAACCCUGAUGGUGCGACGCCGCGUGGGGGAAUGAAGGUCUUCGGAUUGUAAACUCCUGUCAUGUGGGAGCAAAUUAAAAAGAUAGUACCACAAGAGGAAGAGACGGCUAACUCUGUGCCAGCAGCCGCGGUAAUACAGAGGUCUCAAGCGUUGUCCGGAAUCACUGGUCGUAAAGCGAGCGUAGGCUGUUUCGUAAGUCGUGUGUGAAAGGCGCGGGCUCAACCCGCGGACGGCACAUGAUACUGCGAGACUAGAGUAGUGGAGGGGGAACCGGAAUUCUUGGUGUAGCAGUGAAAUGCGUAGAUAUCGAGAGGAACACUCGUGGCGAAGGCGGGUUCCUGGACAUUAACUGACGCUGAGGCACGAAGGCCAGGGGAGCGAAAGGGAUUAGAUACCCGAGUAGUC
rnacentral:rRNA from 1 species